rnacentral:rRNA from 1 species
UACUAAACUCAUCAUAUAAUAUCACAUUAAACAAAACACUCAAAUACCUACCCUACUAACACCCAAACUAAAGUACUAAAAAGGAAAUACCCAAUAAAAUAAAGUAGUGAUAUUUCACGUACCUUGUGCAUUAUGGUUUUACAAGCUAAAAAUUUAAAAUACUUUCCCGAAUUCUACACGAGCUGCCCCCAUAUAGCUAUGAGCCCACUACUAGUUGUAGCAACAACUUUAGAAAAUAUGUUGGCAGAGGCUACAUACCACACGCGUUAGAAAAUUGCUGGUUCCCAGUAAAAUUUAUUAAUUAAAACAUGGAGCUAUAGCUUCAGUGUAAGACCACAGAGGACAAGCCCUGUGACCUAAAGCCAUAAACAACAAUCAAAAAUAAGUAGGCCUAAAAACAGCCACCUGCAAUACUUUACCGUAACACCCAUAUAAUUCAUACACUUAUUCUGCACUUAAAAGCUGGGAUUUAAAAUAAACACUCAAUUAUUAAAUAUUAUGUAAAAAUAAGUAUUAUAGAUAAAUAAACAUCAACAUAAAAUAUAUCCACAAACAAAAAAUAAACACUUAUGAAGGAACUCGGCAAAUCCUUAUUUUGGGAAGUAAUUCCUGCCCAGUGACUAAGUUCAACGGCCGCGGUAUCCUAACCGUGCAAAGGUAGCAUAAUCACUUGCCCAUUAAUUGUGGGCUAGAAUGAAAGGACCAACGAAAUAAAGACUGUCUCCAUAAGCUAUCUAAAAAUUAACCUCUAACUGAAGACUGUUAGAUUCCGUCGAAGGACAAGAAGACCCUAUAGAGCUUUAUUUUAAUAAAAAAUAUAAAUUUUUAAUAAAUUCGGUUGGGGCGACCAGGGAAGUUACUAAUCAUCCCUAAAUAAAAGAUUAAUUAAUCUAAAUUCUGACCCUUAUUCAAGAUCAAUAGAUCAAGCUACCUUAGGGAUAACAGGCUAAUCUCACUAAAGAGUCCUUAUCAAUAGUGGGGGUUGGCACCUCGAUGUUGGCUUAGGGAAUCUAUGUGGCGCAAAAGUCACAUAAAGAUGGUUUGUUCAACCAAUAACACCCUACAUGAGCUGAGUUCAGACCGGCGUAAGCCAGGUUAGUUUCUAUCCUCGAUAAAAUAAUCUAUUUAUAGUACGAAAGGACCUAAAUAAGAAUAAUAAUUAUAGUUAAAGAAUAAAUAUAAGGCAUAUUUAAACUAAAUACACAUAAACUA